rnacentral:misc_RNA from 1 species
UCCGGUUUGUCACCGGCAGUCUCCCUAGAGUGCCCUUGCGUAGCAACUAGGGACAAGGGUUGCGCUCGUUGCGGGACUUAACCCAACAUCUCACGACACGAGCUGACGACAGCCAUGCAGCACCUGUGUUCCGGUUCUCUUUCGAGCACAUCCACCUUUCAGCAGACUUCCAGACAUGUCAAGGGUAGGUAAGGUUGUUCGCGUUGCAUCGAAUUAAUCCACAUCAUCCACCGCUUGUGCGGGUCCCCGUCAAUUCCUUUGAGUUUUAACCUUGCGGCCGUACUCCCCAGGCGGCUCACUUCACGCGUUAGCUUCGACACUGAUCUCCGAGUUGAGACCAACAUCCAGUUCGCAUCGUUUAGGGCGUGGACUAC